CCCUUAGAUGUUCUGGGCCGCACGCGCGCUACACUGAUGCAUUCAACAGGCCUAGCCUUGACCGAGAGGUCCGGGUAAUCUUUGAAACUGCAUCGUGAUGGGGCUAGAUUAUUGCAAUUAUUAAUCUUCAACGAGGAAUGCCUAGUAAGCGUGAUUCAUCAAAUCGCGUUGAUUACGUCCCUGCCCUUUGUACACACCGCCCGUCGCUCCUACCGAUUGAAUGUGUUGGUGAGGAGCUCGGAUUGGCAGCAGUUGGUGGUUCGCCACCGGCUAUUGCUGAGAAGUCCUCCAAACCGCCCCAUUUAGAGGAAGGAGAAGUCGUAACA
rnacentral:rRNA from 1 species